rnacentral:rRNA from 1 species
UGUAGCGCGGUGGUCCCACCUGACCCCAUGCCGAACUCAGAAGUGAAACGCCGUAGCGCCGAUGGUAGUGUGGGGUCUCCCCAUGCGAGAGUAGGGAACUGCCAGGCA